rnacentral:rRNA from 1 species
UACGUAGGGUGCGAGCGUUGUCCGGAAUUAUUGGGCGUAAAGAGCUCGUAGGCGGUCUGUCGCGUCGAUCGUGAAAACUUGGGGCUUAACCCUGAGCUUGCGGUCGAUACGGGCAUGACUGGAGUUCGGCAGGGGAGACUGGAAUUCCUGGUGUAGCGGUGAAAUGCGCAGAUAUCAGGAGGAACACCGGUGGCGAAGGCGGGUCUCUGGGCCGAUACUGACGCUGAGGCUCGAAAGCAUGGGGAGCAAACAGG